rnacentral:sRNA from 1 species
GGCUCAGCCCUGACUAGUCGCCUUUAUGGUGUGCGUCUCCGCAAGGAGUAGGGGCUGGGCCGCUU